rnacentral:rRNA from 1 species
GAUGAACGCUGGCGGCGUGCCUAAUACAUGCAAGUCAAGCGAACAGACGAGGAGCUUGCUCCUCUGACGUUAGCGGCGGACGGGUGAGUAACACGUGGAUAACCUACCUAUAAGACUGGGAUAACUUCGGGAAACCGGAGCUAAUACCGGAUAAUAUAUUGAACCGCAUGGUUCAAUAGUGAAAGACGGUUUUGCUGUCACUUAUAGAUGGAUCCGCGCCGCAUUAGCUAGUUGGUAAGGUAACGGCUUACCAAGGCAACGAUGCGUAGCCGACCUGAGAGGGUGGUCCGGCCCACUUGGACUUGGACACCGUCCAGACCCCUACCGGGAGGAGGAGUUGGGAAACCUCCGCAAUGGGGCAAAGCCUUACCGAGCAACCGCGCCGUAGUUGAUGAGGUUCUCCGGUCCGAAAACCCUUUUAUUAGGGAAGAACAAAUGUGUAAGUAACUAUGCACGUCUUGACGGUACCUAAUCAGAAAGCCACGGCUAACUACGUG